rnacentral:rRNA from 1 species
AGCGAUGGGGAGCUACCAUGCAGUCGAGCGGUAACAGAGAGUAGCUUGCUACUCUGCUGACGAGCGGCGGACGGGUGAGUAAUGCUUGGGAAUGUACCUUAUGGUGGGGGACAACAGUUGGAAACGACUGCUAAUACCGCAUAAUGUCUUCGGACCAAAGCGGGGGACCUUCGGGCCUCGCGCCAUAAGAUCAGCCCAAGUGGGAUUAGCUAGUUGGUGAGGUAAUGGCUCACCAAGGCGACGAUCCCUAGCUGGUUUGAGAGGAUGAUCAGCCACACUGGGACUGAGACACGGCCCAGACUCCUACGGGAGGCAGCAGUGGGGAAUAUUGCACAAUGGGCGCAAGCCUGAUGCAGCCAUGCCGCGUGUGUGAAGAAGGCCUUCGGGUUGUAAAGCACUUUCAGUAAGGAGGAAAGGUUGGAUGUUAAUAGCAUUCAGCUGUGACGUUACUUACAGAAGAAGCACCGGCUAACUCCGUGCCAGCAGCCGCGGUAAUACGGAGGGUGCGAGCGUUAAUCGGAAUUACUGGGCGUAAAGCGUACGCAGGCGGUUUGUUAAGCGAGAUGUGAAAGCCCCGGGCUCAACCUGGGAACUGCAUUUCGAACUGGCAAACUAGAGUGUGAUAGAGGGUGGUAGAAUUUCAGGUGUAGCGGUGAAAUGCGUAGAGAUCUGAAGGAAUACCGAUGGCGAAGGCAGCCACCUGGGUCAAACUUUGACGCUCAUGUACGAAAGCGGGGGGAGCAAACAGGAUAGCCCGG